GACGAACGCUGGCGGCGUGCUUAACACAUGCAAGUCGAACGAUGAAGCCGGAGCUUGCUCUGGUGAAUUAGUGGCGAACGGGUGAGUAACACGUGAGUAACCUGCCCUUGACUCUGGGAUAACUGCUAGAAAUGGUAGCUAAUACCGGAUACGACCCUCGGAGGCAUCUCCAGGGGGUGGAAAGAAUUUCGGUCAAGGAUGGAUUCGCGGCCUAUCAGCUAGUUGGUGAGGUAACGGCUCACCAAGGCGACGACGGGUAGCCGGCCUGGGAGGGUGACCGGCCACACUGGGACUGAGACACGGCCCAGAAUCCUACGGGAGGCAGCAGUGGGGAAUAUUGCACAAUGGGCGCAAGCCUGAUGCAGCAACGCCGCGUGAGGGAUGACGGCCUUCGGGUUGUAAACCUCUUUUAGUAGGGAAGAAGCGAAAGUGACGGUACCUGCAGAAAAAGCACCGGCUAACUACGUGCCAGCCGCCGCGGUAA
rnacentral:rRNA from 1 species